rnacentral:rRNA from 1 species
GACAGAGGAUGCAAGCGUUAUCCGGAAUGAUUGGGCGUAAAGCGUCUGUAGGUGGCUUUUCAAGUCCGCCGUCAAAUCCCAGGGCUCAACCCUGGACAGGCGGUGGAAACUACCAAGCUGGAGUACGGUAGGGGCAGGAGGGAAUUUCCGGUGGAGCGGUGAAAUGCAUUGAGAUCGGAAAGAACACCAACGGCGAAAGCACUCCGCUGGCCGACACUGACACUGAGAGACGAAAGCUAGGGGAGCAAAUGGG